AUGAAAUUCAGAAAAAAUCACCGAAACGGUAGAAAAUUUUUUCGCGAGACCCGAACAUUCCGUGCGUAUGUGCCCCUUGCUUUAAAAUUUCUUGAUAUAGGGGUAAGGGGCACAUACGCAGAAUCUGGCUUGCUGCCAGUCGUU
ensembl:ncRNA C56C10.14 ncRNA